CAGCAGUGGAACAGAUUUUCUCCAAAAUUCCUACAAUGGAUAAGCCCCACCACCCUGCAGGACCUGCGUGUUGGGUCAGUGUAGAACACCAGGAACCCCUCACAUUAGCAAGCCACUCACUUUCUCAGCAAAAAUCAGGAUCUCAGUUCCAGCCUCUUAGGAUUAAGGAUGGCCAUGUCACAGGAAUUAUCAGGAGAUUCCCAGACCUGGAGGCCACUUUUGAACCUUACUCUUGCAAGGGAUUGAUUCAGUGCAGUAGACUUCUACCAAAGGUGACAAUCCAUUGUUGAGCCUGCACCCACAGUGACCAAACCCAGGGGAAAGGAUGCUGUUGGAGGACAAUAUGAUCGUGUCACCAAGACUGGCAGACAGGCCUAGAGGAUGCCUUGCACAGAUACUGUGGACCACAUGCCCUGGCAGAACCACACUCAGCAAGCCCACAUAAAUUCUGUCUGGAGCUGUAAAAGUAAAAAGACACCAGUUCCUUCCAUCCUGUGAAUUCAGGCAAGGUUCAACACCUUCAUCCAGGUUUGAAUCAGCACAUCAUCUCAUACAUGGAAUCACAGAAUACCCUGAUUUGGAAGGUGCCCACAAGGAUCAUCAAGCUGAAAUCCUGGCCCUACACAGGACAUCCCUAAGAAUCACACCAUCUGUCACCAUGUACAUCAUCAACCCCUGCACUGAAAGGACUUUUGAACCUCAGAUAAGAUGCUUCCAACUUGAAACAGAACAGUCCAGAACUGAUUUGCACAGAACUUUUGAUUGUGCUUGUGAAAGUGUUGUCACAGGUGGCAAAGACAGAUGAGAGUGUGGAGCCAUCAUUCACACCAGCAUCAAGGGCCAAGAAGGUUGGUCUGGAGCUGGCUAAGGUUCAUCUGCAGGGCUAUGGAUAGUUGUUGUUCCUUCCAGGGUAAAACAGUGAAGAUGACCCACCACCAGCGUUUACCCAUUGUUUCCCAUUGGGAUCCAGCCUUGCUGAAUUGUUAUGGGUGUUUCCAUAAAAGCUCGGGGUAGACACAUUCAGGAUGGCCUGAAAGAAAAUGGAGAAGUGCUUAAAAUGUUACUGAGCACACUUACAAAUAUCAUCCUGGAGCAGAAGAGUGAAGUCACUGCAGAAACGAGGGAGCACAGGCAGAUCCCUUCAUGCCUUUGGAAGCUCUGGCUAUCACUGCACCAGGUGGAAAAAGACUGUGGACAGGAAUUAUCUAAGGACCACAAUUCAGGCACUGAAGGAGCAAAACUGCAACCCACCCAAUAUAAUUCCUGUAAACUCAAUGUGCCAAGGUUUCCAACAAGCACCAUCUCUGGUAACCACAGUCAUUCCCAUGCCAGGCCUUACAGAAACUGGUCAGAAUGGUUUUGGAGAUCUGGACAGCCCCUGAUCUUUCUGAGGAAGGAAAAAGCAGCUCAGCU